GAACAAACCUUCUGCACCCCGAUCCGGCCUAGUUCGCUGGCGUCUCCACCCGAUCGACUCCACUGCAGUAUGCUAUAGCCCGUGGAGCCUGGGGCGUUGGUUGUCCGGCAGUCGAUUCCCGCGGGAUCUGCCGGGGCGCCCGGAGCCGGAGAAGGCGACGAUGUCAACCCCUGCAAGGAAGAGGCUGAUGAGGGAUUUCAAACGACUGAUGCAGGAUCCUCCUGCGGGCAUAAGUGGUGCACCUCAGGAUAACAAUAUAAUGCUGUGGAAUGCUGUAAUUUUUGGUCCUGAUGAUACUCCCUGGGAUGGUGUUUAUGCAGAUGGAAGCAUAUGUUUAGAUAUUCUCCAAAACCAGUGGAGCCCGAUAUAUGAUGUAGCUGCUAUAUUGACAUCCAUUCAGUCACUGCUUUGCGACCCAAACCCAAAUUCACCUGCCAACUCAGAAGCCGCCCGCCUAUUCAGCGAGAACAAGCGGGAAUACAACCGUAAAGUACGCGAGGUUGUGGAGCAAAGCUGGACUGCAGACUAAAGUCGCUGCAUCCAGUUGUGAUGCCAGCUAAUUGCCCGUUAGCGCCUUGAGUCCUAUGUACUGAACUGCUUGCAAGAUCGAGCACAAUAUGGAUUUGCUAUAUGUUAGCUCUGUUGUACUGAAUGAUACUGCUGAGCAUAAGUUCUUCCAAGGAAGCCUCUUUUUAGCUACCAGAGGAACUGCUCAGAGCCUCAGUCAGAGCAACAUCCUUUGAUCUUCCAAACAUGGCAGCCAAGAGGCGCGGGCACCUUCUCUUACGUUGUGGAAACCGCGACCGCCUUACUAGAGUUUAUUUCUUGAGACUAUUGGGGUAGGUGUUGAGAAAAUAGCGCCUUCAGUUCGUUUGUCUAAGCCGGGUAGAUGCUCAAUGUGAGUGUUCCUUAAGAACCCGAGCUUGAGCUUCUCUGGGUGUGGAAAGAUGCAAAGCAUUACAAACAAAAAGACAAGGAGGCACGCAAUUGAAGUACUGGAAUGAAGUUCUAUGUUUGC
rnacentral:rRNA from 1 species